CUGGCUCAGGAUGAACGCUAGCGGCAGGCCUAACACAUGCAAGUCGAACGGUAACAGGGAAAAGCUUGCUUUUCUGCUGACGAGUGGCGCACGGGUGCGUAACGCGUAUGCAAUCUGCCUUGUACUGGAGUAUAGCCCAGGGAAACUUGGAUUAAUCCUCCAUAGUCUAUUGAUUUGGCAUC
rnacentral:rRNA from 1 species